rnacentral:tRNA from 1 species
CGAUGGCUCAGUUGGUAGAGCGACGCAUUCGUAAUGCGUAGGUCGUGGGUUCGAGUCCCAUUC